GAUGAACGCUGGCGGCGUGCCUAAUACAUGCAAGUCGAGCGAACGGACGAGAAGCUUGCUUCUCUGAUGUUAGCGGCGGACGGGUGAGUGACACGUGGAUAACCUACCUAUAAGACUGGGAUAACUUCGGGAAACCGGAGCUAAUACCGGAUAAUAUUUUGAACCGCAUGGUUCAAAAGUGAAAGACGGUCUUGCUGUCACUUAUAGAUGGAUCCGCGCUGCAUUAGCUAGUUGGUAAGGUAACGGCUUACCAAGGCAACGAUGCAUAGCCGACUUGAGAGGGUGAUCGGCCACACUGGAACUGAGACACGGUCCAGACUCCUACGGGAGGCAGCAGUAGGGAAUCUUCCGCAAUGGGCGAAAGCCUGACGGAGCAACGCCGCGUGAGUGAUGAAGGUCUUCGGAUCGUAAAACUCUGUUAUUAGGGAAGAACAUAUGUGUAAGUAACUGUGCACAUCUUGACGGUACCUAAUCAGAAAGCCACGGCUAACUACGUG
rnacentral:rRNA from 1 species